AGGUACCUGAGUAUAUGGGGAUGAAUGGAAUAGAUUCAAUGUCGAGGUUAUGAGAAAAGUAAAAGGGGGGAAUAUUUCCCCCCUGAGCCUUAACU
rnacentral:sRNA from 11 species